UGUGUGCCACCAAAAGAGCAAGUGUAGUCUCUGAGUGCUUUGAGCUAUGCAAUUUCUUCAACAGUACUCCUGUUACUCUGUGCCCCUGGAAAGGACUGGAAGAAGAUUAUCUGCCUUUCACAGAAGAAAGCAUUACAACUAUCAAAUGUGUGCUGUUCUCUUGGUGAUGUUAUUUGGCUGUUCAACCCUGACUGCGAGAUGCCUGCCCCUGUGGAUAAUAGCAGCUUGA
rnacentral:lncRNA from 1 species